rnacentral:rRNA from 1 species
UGGGGAAUUUUGGACAAUGGGCGAAAGCCUGAUCCAGCAAUGCCGCGUGUGUGAAGAAGGCCUUCGGGUUGUAAAGCACUUUUGUCCGGAAAGAAAUGGCUCUGGUUAAUACCUGGGGUCGAUGACGGUACCGGAAGAAUAAGGACCGGCUAACUACGUGCCAGCAGCCGCGGUAAUACGUAGGGUCCAAGCGUUAAUCGGAAUUACUGGGCGUAAAGCGUGCGCAGGCGGUUGUGCAAGACCGAUGUGAAAUCCCCGAGCUUAACUUGGGAAUUGCAUUGGUGACUGCACGGCUAGAGUGUGUCAGAGGGGGGUAGAAUUCCACGUGUAGCAGUGAAAUGCGUAGAGAUGUGGAGGAAUACCGAUGGCGAAGGCAGCCCCCUGGAGUAACACUGACGCUCAUGCACGAAAGCGUGGGGAGCAAACAGGAUUAGAUACCCUGGUAGUCCACGCCCUAAACGAUGUCAACUAGUUGUUGGGGAUUCAUUUCCUUAGUAACGUAGCUAACGCGUGAAGUUGACCGCCUGGGGAGUACGGUCGCAAGAUUAAAA